UCCGCCUGGGGUCGCCUGUGCACUGCAGCUCCCGAAGGCUUUUCUGCACGGACAUGCAGUUCAAGAUACAGCCUACAGCCUGGCCUUUGGGUUACCAGUUCAUCCUGAUACUCUACAAUAACAGGUUGAAAUUUGUGCUUUUCUGGCCUUUUCACCCAUGAAACAUGAGCCAUCUAUUAGGGCAAAGCUUGAAACAGCAGUGGUUCUUUGACAAGUGGUUGGCCAUAUCGUAUCUCUGCUCUGUUAUGGAAAAUUAUGUUUGUGAUUUCUGUUUAUUCUUUCAUGGAUGUUUGAACUUUAAAAGAACAAAUUAUGAAACUUUUGGAGAAGUAAAAUAAGAGUCUUUAAACUUGGUUGCUA